rnacentral:lncRNA from 1 species
CCACAAAUGCUAUUUUAUUCAAUAUAUUUUACACACACAGAGACACAUAAAUUGCACUCCCAUAUACUCCCAUGCAAACAUUUUUUAAUCUAUGCUUUUAUCAUUUUCCAUUCGCCACUCUCCAUUUUGCUUUCGUUUCAUUUUAAUAUCUAUUUAUUUGAAUGUUCUUAUGUGCAUAACGUUUUUACAAUUACAAUUACAAUGCUGCAGUCAGUUAAAAAUCGUAAACACAAAAAAAAAAACAAAAGCCUAAAAAAUUAUUCCAGUUUUGUGCCAAAACUUCCACUUUGCUCCUUUGUUCUCUGUAGUUUUUCCCGCUGAUACUUUCAGUAUUUAUGUACGUGUGUGUGAGUGUAUUUAUUUAUAUAUUUAUAUAAAAAAAAAUUAUCAUACAUUUACUUAAUCUACGCAAUGCUGGCUUAUAGUUUAUACAAAUAGUUUUUCCACUUUUCCAUUUCGUGUUUCCGUUUUCGAUUCUCUUUUUUAUUCUUUUGCUUCUCUUAAUUUGUAUAAUUUAUGUUGGUAAAAUCGCUGGAUUCCUUGCUUACUUGCCUAAAAAAUGGUAGUUCAGGGUUCAGGGUUCAGGGUUCAGGGUUCAGGGCUUAUAACAAGCAAAAAGCAAAGCAAAAACAAUGAACUUAUCGUGGUUCUGGGUUCGUCAGUGGCAUGUUCAAUCGCAGCAACGGCUUGGCUACAGAUGCACUUUACAGAGGUUUUCUGUUGCCCUUUUUAGCUGUUUCCCUGCUCAGGCUGAUAAGGGUUCGACUCCUGCCAUUCGCAACCUUUCUUCUGUUCGUUCUGUUCCCUUUUUCCGGCUUGCCUUUAAUCACUCUAAUGAUUUGAACUUUUGCAAAGAGAAAGGAAAUUGCACCGCUGCACCAUCGUCAUCAUCCACCUCCUCGACAUGGCACGUAGCUGUCUGUUUGCUGCUCUUUAAAUUCAAUCAAUCAAAUGGUUUUUCCCACCUCACAAAUCCCUCGCCCACUCAUUGCCAUUGUCAUCUUUUAUUUUUUGCCCAACUCCCAACUCCCAGCGAUGGCCAUGGCCAUUGGCAUUUUAUUUGUAUUUUCGCUUUGGCCCAUCCGCACAUCUGUGACAAUAUUUACACCAUCGAAAGCACUCAGCCCACGUGGCUCAUCCUGGCCCUAAGCCAGCCACAUUACGGUGACCAUGCUAAUUGUGGACUGACAGCUUCGAGAGACCUCCCCUGACACAACCAUCAAGGAGAGGAGGCACGGAGAGUGCCGAAAAAGUCAUCAACAAGCGGGCAAAUCUGUGGCCAGCUAAUUUAUCUAAUUGAAAAGGAUUUGGCUAGCAGCUGAGGUAACAGAUUGCUGAAGGGUUUGCCUUAAAGGUGAACCAAAACCCGCAAUGUGGUUGGUUUUUGAUGUACCCGUCACAGCAGAGGACACAAAUUAAUGUCAUAAAAUCAUUUAGCGUUGCAAAAGGACAUGGGGGACACAACUAAAAGCGAGAGAGGGAAACAAAGAGGGCAAAGGAAAAGCGGAAAUGGACGCUUCAAAAUCACUUAAAAAACUAUUUUCACGCAAAUUGCUUCGCUGCUCACGUCAGGAGUUGCAGUCCGAGUACGAGUACGAGUACGAGUCCGAGGACACAGGACACAGGACCAUGGCCUGACAGCGAGACAGGCAGAGACUGCCAGAGGGAGAGAGCACGUGCCUGUGAUGGAUGGACUCUCUGGUCGCGACAUUCCCGUGGAAGUGGACCACGUUCGUAAUGCAUGUAAAUGAAGAAGUUUCUGUGCUGCAACUGGCAGUGGGAGCGCCCGGAGCCGGCAGCCAGUUGGAGUCCG